rnacentral:misc_RNA from 1 species
CGGUUCGAGUCCGCUAACCUCCACUGAUCGAUAACCUCCUUUAACUAAUACCAAUGGAGAUUAUCUUUAUUUGAUGUGAUUUAGACUUUGUUCAACUGAUGAACCUAGCUUCCUAUCAUUCCAAUUCUAAUUAAAGAAAGAAAGGGUUGACAGGACGCUGGGCUCUAUGUGAUUCGAAAGAAUUACAUUAAGUUCAGUA